rnacentral:rRNA from 1 species
CUACGGGACGCUCCAGUGGGGAAUAUUGCACAAUGGGCGCAAGCCUGAUGCAGCCAUGCCGCGUGUAUGAAGAAGGCCUUCGGGUUGUAAAGUACUUUCAGCGGGGAGGAAGGGAGUAAAGUUAAUACCUUUGCUCAUUGACGUUACCCGCAGAAGAAGCACCGGCUAACUCCGUGCCAGCAGCCGCGGUAAUACGGAGGGUGCAAGCGUUAAUCGGAAUUACUGGGCGUAAAGCGCACGCAGGCGGUUUGUUAAGUCAGAUGUGAAAUCCCCGGGCUCAACCUGGGAACUGCAUCUGAUACUGGCAAGCUUGAGUCUCGUAGAGGGGGGUAGAAUUCCAGGUGUAGCGGUGAAAUGCGUAGAGAUCUGGAGGAAUACCGGUGGCGAAGGCGGCCCCCUGGACGAAGACUGACGCUCAGGUGCGAAAGCGUGGGGAGCAAACAGGAUUAGAUACCCUUGUAGUC